rnacentral:rRNA from 1 species
GCGGAAUUCGUGGCCAGAAGCGGCGGUAAAGUGUAGGGGGCAAGCGUUGGCCGGAAUUAGGGGGCGGAAAGAGCUCGUAGGCGGUCUGUUGCGUCCGCUGUGAAAACUCGGGCUUAACCCCGAGGCUGCAGUGGAUACGGGCAGACUAGAGGUAGGUAGGGGAGAAUGGAAUUCCCGGUGUAGCGGUGAAAUGCGCAGAUAUCGGGAGGAACACCGGUGGCGAAGGCGGUUCUCUGGGCCUUACCUGACGCUGAGGAGCGAAAGCGUGGGGAGCGAACAGAAUUAGAUACCCCAGUAGUC